CUCUCACAUCCAUACAUGAUUACUGGAAAAACCAUAGCUUUGACUAGACGGACGUGCAACUGUCCACUGCUAAUUGCUUUACACCGCCGCCCAAAUAUCCAGGCUUUCGGGCCAGAGGAAUAUUCUGGAAAAUUCUUGGCCAAGACUUGGGCCUCAGGUGCUAAGGAAAAGGAUUUAAUAGAAACUCACUGAACCUGCACUUGGACAUUCACUGCUGUCCUAAGGCGUCUGAUGGCCAGAGCUCUUCUGCAUCAUACAAGACAGCCAGGAGCCCAGCUCUGACCCUCACUCACCCCUGCGCACGGAACCGGCUUCAGAUUAGCCAAACAGGCUAAGAGCAGCAAACUUCCCCUGAUGGAGGAAUCUCAAAAACAUAAUGUUAAGAAAAAGAGAAGGAAAGGGGGGGAAGGGGGCGGGGAG